rnacentral:tRNA from 1 species
UUCUUGCUGGCUCAGUGGUAAAGAAUCUGCCUGCAAUGCAGGAGACGCAGGUUCAAUCCCUGGGUUGGGAU